AAAAACUUACUUCCUCUCCCUGGAUUUUUCCAAUGUUCUGGAGAAUAUUUAUGUUUUUUAGUAGUUAGUUUUGAGGAGAGAACAUACCUGAGUUCACUGGUGUGGGAGCAAGGUUCCAUAUCUCUUUACUGAUGCGACAAUGGAAGAGCAUAUGGUUAACUGUUUCUGAUUCCUCUCCACAUCUUUGGCAGGUAUCCUCAAUCUGAAUUUUCCUUCUGCGUAAAUUUUCUGCAACAGGGAGAGCAUUGUGUAUAACUCUCCACCAAAAGUGUUUUAUUUUUGGAGGGGAGUUUAGUUUCCAUAUAUUUUUUAAUAUUUCUUCUUGCUGGUUACAAUUCUCGUUACUCUGUGGGUUUGAGUUAGCUUGUGUGAAAGAGUUUCUGAGAAGGUUGUAACAUGAUUUUACUGAGUAAUAGCCAUCUUUUGUAUGGAUCCAUGUGGCGAAGUCUCUUGUGUUCGUCGCUGCUGGACGCACUUUCUUGAUAAUCUCAAGAUCUUCAUCAACUACAAAAGCAUCAAGUUUGUUAAUAUCCCACCUUUUAGUAACAGGAUCAAUAAAUUCAGCCACUUUGGUGUUCCAAUUUUGGAGGUCUUGGUGGGUUAGUAGGAAGCCAGUUAUCCGUCCACAUAAGUGUUUGGUGACCACUUCCUACCACUUUUUUUAAGCCUUUUGAGAGGAUUUCAUUACCUUUGAUAAUGCUCUUCCACGCAUGGCUAGAAUUGGCCCUUGCUUUGGCUUGAAGCAGCUCAGUUUUGGGGAAGUACUUGGCUUUGAAAACUCUUUCCAGGAGGGAUUGUGGAUUUUGUACUAUUCUCCAGCUUUGUUUUGCCACCAGGGCAAUAUUGAAGUCUCUCAAAUCUCUUAUGCCUAAUCCUCCUUGUUUUUUUGAGUUUGUUAUUUUGGGCCAAGCAAUCCAUGAGAUUCUGUGUUUUUCCUUAGUACUGGACCACCAGAAUCUUCUCAUGGCUCUGGUCAUUUGAUCAAUCGCUCUUUUGGGGAGGAGAAAGCAUGACAUGCUAUAUGCCGGGAUGGCUAUUGCGAUUGCUUUGAGGAGAGUUUCUUUUCCUGCAGGAGACAAUAAUUUAGAGUACCAGCUAGACACUUUAUUCUCCAAUUUUUGAGUUAUAUAGGAGAAAGCAUUGAAUUUGUUUCUUCCUAUAAACUCAGGCAAGCCCAGAUAUCUACCAAAUCCUGUAAUUUUAGUAAUUCCCAAGCGAUUGCAGAUAUUUUCUUUUACAUCAGAAGCUAAUAGCUUUCCAAAAAUUACUGCUGAUUUGUUAAGAUUAAAAUUCUAACCUGUAGCUUUUUCAUAUAUCUUCAGGAUUUGGAUUAUCUCCUCACAUUCAUCUUCAGUAGUUUUACAGAAUAGAAGAGAAUCGUCUGCAAACAACAAGCGAGAGAUUGAUGGUCCAUUUCUACUAGCCUUAAAACUAUGAAGUUUUCCUGUUUUAUACUAUUUUGAAUGAGAGCAGACAAUCCUUCAGUACAC
rnacentral:lncRNA from 1 species